GUUUAGUAAAUGCUUUAAUCCCUGUGUUGUGACAUGAAUCAUAUACUUUAAGAAUUCCAUUCUCAGUCCACUUAGUAAGAAAGAGGUCAGGUAUUAAGCUUGUAAGCAUAUGUAAUGGGGCUAGUGGCAGGAUAUAAGAGGUACCUAUUAAAGCAGGGGCCCACUGUUUCCAGAUCUUAAGGAGAAGUCUUGUGGUAGAAAUCUUGUGUAAAUUAUGUACAGUUGGCACCGAGACAGUCCAUAACAAUUGGGCUAAUGUGUUUGGUUUUAUACAAGCAUUUUCUGUGACACAAGUGUGUCCAUAUGGG